rnacentral:tRNA from 1 species
UUGGAGAUUUAGCUCAGUGGUAGAGCGCUUGCCUAGCAAGCACAAGGCCCUGGGUUCGGUCCUCAGCUCUGGAAA